rnacentral:rRNA from 1 species
CAAUAGCGUAUAUUAAAGUUGUUGCAGUUAAAAAGCUCGUAGUUGGAUUUCGGGACGGGCCAGUUGGUCCGCCGCAAGGUGUGUUACUGACUGGUCUGUUCUUCUUCGCAAAGACUGCGUGUGCUCUUCGUUGAGUGUGCGUAGGAUUUACGACGUUUACUUUGAAAAAAUUAGAGUGUUCAAAGCAGGCUAUCGCUUGAAUACAUGAGCAUGGAAUAAUGGAAUAGGACUUUGGUCCUAUUUUGUUGGUUUCUAGGACCGAAGUAAUGAUUAAGAGGGACAAUUGGGGGCAUCCGUAUUUCGUUGUCAGAGGUGAAAUUCUUGGAUUUACGAGAGACGAACAACUGCGAAAGCACUUGCCAAGAGUGUUUUCAUUAA